UUUUAUACAAAAAUACACCUCGUGUGAUGAUUGUCGUCGCCGUGAUGAUGUGGUGGAUUUUUUACAUGUAAAAUCAUCAGAAGUAGUGUGUUCCCGCGUUUCUAAUAAAAUGGCGAUCUGCGUGACAUCCCCAAAGUUUACAGCCUUGUUUGAAGUGUCAUAUCAUCUGUGAAUGUGUCAAACAAAUGUUGCUUAUGGAAAUUGACAUUGUCACAAACAUUUUAACCGCGAUUCGUGUUGUAAAUCCAACUGUAUUUUUGAUUAUUUGAUUUGUUAGACUGCUUGUACACACAUGAAAAACUCGGCUUGUAUGUAACAAACGCUUGAUUCCGUUUAAUUCACCCUUUGGAUAGAGAACUUGUUUGAUUGUUUAACUCUAAUAAAGGAAUUGGGAGUCUAAAGGAGGAAUCAUAUUUCGUGCCGAACUAAGUAAGGGUGAUGUCAUGAUGGCCUCCUCGGCGAAGAAAAAACGUUCAAAUAGACCGAAUUUUUCUGAGGCAGCCGUACAAGAAGCUUCAGAUCAGCUAAGCAAAAUACAAUGGAAUGAGUUGAUGAUAGCUUCGAUUCGAAAGCUAAAUGAAGAUGGGACCCGAGUUGUCAAGUAUCGACUUUGCACUACAUUAAACGCAUUGGCAAAAGAGGAAUUUGAGUUGGCACUUCCGAUCACAGAAACCGUUCUCCUGAGGAACUUGGACCGCGCGAUUGAUGAAGGCAUUUUAACAAGUCAGAAGAACGGUUCAAUAAUAAGCUACGGAAUUGUUGGAGAAAAAGCUGGAAAAAUUGAUUUGACAGUGGAGGAUCCUCUGGAGGAUGGAAAAAUACUGGCGGCUAUAGUCAAAAGUCUUCUAAUCAUUAGAAAAAAUGAAGGCCAGGUCAGAGGUUUCAAGCUACCAGAGAUUAUCAACUUGUUCGAAUCGGCCAACAGUCUAAUUUACCCGGAAGGUGAAGAUAAAACAAGUUUUUUGGAAAAUGUAAUCACUGGCGCCCUCAAGAAAGGUUGUAUUUCGGGUCAUAUUCGAAAGUUAGAAAAAGAAUAUUACGUAGCUGGAAAGUCCUGAAGAUGAACAGUUCCUUAAGUAUACAAUUUGCGGUGUAAGUCUAAUUUCAUGUUCAAUAAAGUAUCACAUUUUGUGUGUUCUCC